CGAAAGAUAGACGGUUUAAAGGCUUUCGAUACAAUAUUAUCAAGAACAUAUCUUUUUCUCGUUGCGCAACAGAAUGUUUUCUUAGAUCCGAGUGUUUGUCAGUCUCGUAUAACACGAACAAUAUACAUUGCAAACUACAUAGUUCAGAUGACCUAGCAUUUCCAGAGAGGCUAUUGACGGAUAACGUAUCCAUCUACAUUGGAAUGUAUGCAUGGAAGAUGACAGAUGCACUUGGUGAGUGCGCUUCGAGACCCUGUCCUGUACGGACAAGGUGUACGCCAUUAAGAAACCAGAACUAUACUUGUGUAAUAACAGAGUGUGACGUGGGCGUAAAAAUUCCACACCUUACUGGUAGCUGGAAUGUUAGAAACGUGGGACGGACUAAAUCAAUCAGUUGUUCAUCCAACUAUUAUCUGAACGGAUCACAGAUCAAAAGUACAUGUUUACCAACCGGUACUUGGUCAUAUACGGACUCAAUUGAAGCAGAAUGUUUGCCAAACCCAUGAACAACAUUAGAAUUAAAGAUUUGUAUACUA